AACACGGCUGCUGCUCUCAAUUUGCUCUUUAUAUGGAUCUCUGAAGACCACAUGUGCAUGCAGUGGUGACAGAAAUAUUUUCCAUAUGAGCCACCACACAUUUUUAAAGUCCCUCAGUCUAAGUAAGAUAAAAGAAACACUAUCUCUUCAAAUCCUAGAGUUGCCUAAGCCAAGUGAUCAGAAAUUACAAACCUUCAAAGACACGAGCAACAUGGGGAAGUAAUUUGUUUUGUUUUAGUGGGUAUGUCAAUUUUCAAGAAAAUAGUAAAAACAGUAUAAGCAGCACAGUACAUAGUUGUAGUAUUAACUGUGCUAAACAGACCACUAUGUUUCUGUCUUGGAAACUGAAAUAAAAAUGCAGAGCAAGAGACUUA